GGGCUAGUAGUCGAUUGGUAAGACGUCCGCUUGACGUGCGGAAGACAGGGGGUCCGAUUCCUCCCUGGCCCA
rnacentral:tRNA from 1 species